rnacentral:rRNA from 1 species
GCAUACCGCCACAAGACGAGAAGACCCUAUGGAGCUUUAGACGCUAACCAACCCCGAAAAGCACCCUACACCAGGGCCCAAACAACGUGGUUUUGGCACAACCGUCUUCGGUUGGGGCGACCGCGGGAGAUAGCACAGCUCCCGAGUGGAUGGGGGAGACCCUAAAACCAAGAGCUACAGCUCGAAGUCACAAAACAUUUGACCAACAAUGAUCCGGCUUCAUGCCGACCAACGGACCAAGUUAC